CGUCCCGUCCCGCCGCAGCGCCGCGCACUUCUGCUGCCGCCCCCCGUCCGCUUCGUUCGGGUGCCGCCGGCUGCGACGGAAGCGCGGUGCGCUCCAGCUCUUCGUCUCUGAUUCCGAGCCACGAGGAGCCGAGCAGCGCGCUUUGGAGGACCCCCAAGGACGCCGGGUCCCACCGCCGGCUGGGUCCCGAUGCUGUGAUGCCCCCAAACGCUGCCGGCUCUGC